rnacentral:misc_RNA from 1 species
GAAAUGCGAUACGUAAUGUGAAUUGCAGAAUCCAGUGAAUCAUCGAAUCUUCGAACGCACGUUGCGGCCCUGGGUAUUCCCAGGGCCACGCCUGCUUGAGUGCCAUUUAAACACCUCAUUCUCUGACUUCUUUGUCAAAGAAUGGACUUGAGUCGUCGGAUCUUUUAAGUAAGGUUCGUCACUUGAAAUCUAGAGGUCAAUAACGCUUUAUCCUCUAAGUACAAGCGUGGUACGCCUUAUUGCAAGGCAACUAUAUCCGCUUGUGCGUUAUAAAAGAGAAUAAUGGCUCAAGACCAAACCUUUUUUUCCCUCUUGGGAGAAAAAACCCCCUUUAAUCUUGGCCUCAAGUCAGACGAGACUACCCGCUGAAUUUAA